rnacentral:rRNA from 1 species
UCGAGCGGUAGAGAGAAGCUUGCUUCUCUUGAGAGCGGCGGACGGGUGAGUAAUGCCUAGGAAUCUGCCUAGUGGUGGGGGAUAACGUUCGGAAACGGACGCUAAUACCGCAUACGUCCUACGGGAGAAAGCGGGGGAUCUUCGGACCUCGCGCCAUUAGAUGAGCCUAGGUCGGAUUAGCUAGUUGGUGAGGUAAUGGCUCACCAAGGCGACGAUCCGUAACUGGUCUGAGAGGAUGAUCAGUCACACUGGAACUGAGACACGGUCCAGACUCCCACGGGAGGCAGCAGUGGGGAAUAUUGGACAAUGGGCGAAAGCCUGAUCCAGCCAUGCCGCGUGUGUGAAGAAGGUCUUCGGAUUGUAAAGCACUUUAAGUUGGGAGGAAGGGCAGUAACCUAAUACGUUAUUGUUUUGACGUUACCGACAGAAUAAGCACCGGCUAACUUCGUGCCGGCAGCCGCGGUAAUACGAAGGGUGCAAGCGUUAAUCGGAAUUACUGGGCGUAAAGCGCGCGUAGGUGGUUCAGUAAGUUGGAAGUGAAAUCCCCGGGCUCAACCUGGGAACUGCUUUCAAAACUGCUGAGCUAGAGUACGGUAGAGGGUGGUGGAAUUUCCUGUGUAGCGGUGAAAUGCGUAGAUAUAGGAAGGAACACCAGUGGCGAAGGCGACCACCUGGACUGAUACUGACACUGAGGUGCGAAAGCGUGGGGAGCAAACAGGAUUAGAUACCCUGGUAGUCCACGCCGUAAACGAUGUCAACUAGCCGUUGGGAGUCUUGAACUCUUAGUGGCGCAGCUAACGCAUUAAGUUGACCGCCUGG